CCGGGUCCACAGAGUUCCGGCCUCAUCGUCCUCCCCUCAGAGCUGAUCAAUGGCGGCGGCGCGGGCGCUGGCCCACCUGGUGGUCUGGACGGGGCUCGGCUACUUCCUGAUGAGGAUGGUCACCCCUAGUGAUGAGGAAAUGCGCAAGGCGAUAAACCCAUACGGCGUGUCAAAGAACGAGAAGGAAACUAAGCUGGUUAUGGAGACGUUAAAGAGGUCUGCCGGCAUCAAGGGUGAAUAGGACCAUCUCGGAUGCCUAGUCGUAAAAGGUUGGCGACCUGCCAGUCAGCCUCGGCCGGCAAGGACACUCAAGCCGCGGUUCGGGUGCUCCCGUCCUCCACACGGUCCUUCGACCGAGCUGUGGCGGCGGGGCUAAGGCUGCUGGUGAAUUAUAUUGUUACGUUGCGACGAGAUAGAAUGAUGGAUGACAUGUAGUAUGUUAAUAAAGAUAUGAUGUGUGUA